AGAGUUUGAUCCUGGCUCAGGACGAACGCUGGCGGCGUGCUUAACACAUGCAAGUCGAACGGUGAUGGGGAGCUUGCUCCUCUGAUCAGUGGCGAACGGGUGAGUAACACGUGAGUAACCUGCCCUUCACUCUGGGAUAACUCCGGGAAACCGGGGCUAAUACUGGAUAUGACCUACUCSGGCAUCCGAAGUGGGUGGAAAGAUUUAUUGGUGGGGGAUGGACUCSCGGCCUAUCAGCUUGUUGGUGAGGUAAUGGCUCACCAAGGCGACGACSGGUAGCCGGCCUGAGAGGGCGAUCGGCCACACUGGGACUGAGACACGGCCCAGACUCCUGCGGGAGGCAGCAGUGGGGAAUAUUGCACAAUGGGCGAAAGCCUGAUGCAGCGACGCCGCGUGAGGGAUUAAGGCCUUCGGGUUGUAAACCUCUUUCAGCAGGGAAGAAGCGAAAGUGACGGUACCUGCAGAAGAAGCACCGGCUAACUACGUGCCAGCAGCCGCGGUAAUACGUAGGGUGCAAGCGUUGUCCGGAAUUAUUGGGCGUAAAGAGCUUGUAGGCGGUUUGUCGCGUCUGCUGUGAAAUUUCGGUGCUCAACCCCCAACUUGCAGUGGGUACGGGCAGACUAGAGUGUGGUAGGGGAGACUGGAAUUCCUGGUGUAGCGGUGAAAUGCGCAGAUAUCAGGAGGAACACCGAUGGCSAAGGCAGGUCUCUGGGCCCACUACUGACGCUGAGAAGCGAAAGCCAUGGGGAGCCGAACAGGAUUAGAUACCCCUGGUAGUCCCAUGCCGUAAACGGUGGGAACCUAGGUGUGGGCCUCCAUUCCACGAGGUCCGUGCC
rnacentral:rRNA from 1 species